GCUCCGGUGGCAUACUGUUUCGAGCGCCUGCCUCGGAUGCGGGAGGUCACGGGUUCAAGACCAGGCCGAAACA